AUCGCUUCUCGGCCUUUUGGCUAAGAUCAAGUGUAAAAAUAAGUUGCUAUGCAGCAUUCAGAAAUCAUAUUGUUUUUAACCAUACCUGAAAUUAUUACUUUUCAAAAACCAAAAGUUUAGUAAAAAAUUC
ensembl:snRNA U2 U2 spliceosomal RNA